AAAAAUGUAAAAUCCACCACACCAAAGCACUUGAAAUUCAAACAAGCAUUUCUUUUCUACAUUGAGGUUGAAGUGGUGAAAUUAUUAUUAUGAACCCCAUCAAUCCUAUAGAUUACUUUCCCAUAAUAGAUUUUAUGAUAUAUUUUCAAGCUGCUAAGCUUUUUGAUGCAAUUUCAAACACAUUUUCAGACAGUCCAUUGGCAGACAAUAUCUUCUCCAGUUGUGCCUUGGCAAGAUUUUGCCGGUGUUCGUCAUAACGCCUCCAUCUCGAGAAGGCAGAGACCAUUCGAGAGGCAACCUGGGGAUUAAUUUUGUCUAGUUGCAGGACAAUGUCUCCCAAGAAUUUGUAGCCCGAUCCGUCCUUUGCGUGAAAGUUGACGAUUGAUCCACAGAAACCUCCAAUCAAAGAAUAUACCUUGUUUGGAUUUCGCAAGUCGAACGCCUUGUGAUUUAGGAGGUUCUGGACAUUCUCAAUGUUACCAGGAAUAUCUGACAUGGCUUGAAGAGCAAGCCAUUUAUUGACAACCAAAUAGUCAUGCUGCCACUUGGCAUAGAAGUCGGCAAGAAUCUCAUCACGAGUUUCACCUGGCUUCUGAGCUAUAGCCACCAAAGCUGCGAAUUGGUCAGUCAUAUUUGAGGCAUUCUUAUACUCAUUAAGCACAAGGCUAGCAAUCUCUGCAUCCUCAACUAAUGCAAGAUAUGCAAGAGCAGUAUUCUUCAAAGCACGCCUGGCCAUUUCAGGAUGGUUAAACACAUAUGCUUCUGAACUCCUAUUGUUUUCUACUGCAGUGAGAAGCUCUGCUUUCAAUGCAGUGGCCAGUUGCUUCCUAAUGAAACUUCGAACGGCAUAAACAGCAUCAGGAUCUGCAACCUCCAUCAUGUCCAUUAUUUCCCCUUCGCCAGGAAGAGUUAUUGCUUUGGCAAUGAAUUCUUUAUCCAAGCUCGAGUCAGAAAGUAUGGAUCUCAGACCCUCAACAAACUUCGAGUUAAGAACCAAUGUCUUAUUUUGUUGGUGAUCAGCCACCAGUUGGAGCAUCAGUUUCCGUGCCAGCACUUGUCCCGCCUCCCAACGGUUGAACUCAUCGGAAUCAUUGGCAAGAAGGAAAAAUAGAUCAUCGUUGUUUAGAUCUGUUUCCAGACGGACAGGAGCACUGUAGCCCCUAAACAAAGAAGGAACUGGCCGCUCAGGUAUAUCCGAGAAGACAAACUCUUCUUCUUUCUUAGUCAGCCUGAGGACUGUAGAGUAGACUGGCUGAUCGUUUUCAGAUAUAGACUGCAACACCCCAUCGUGAUAUAUGGAGGAAAGACGCAAAUUAUUACCAGAUGAGUCUAACAAACCAAGAGCGACAGGUAGAAACAUUGGCUCUUUAACUGGCUGCCCAGGAGUUGGUGGAACAUCUUGCCUGAACUUCAGAGAGAACGUACGACCAUCAGAAUUGUAAGAAGAUGUAACUUUGACUUGAGGGGUCCCAGCUUGAGAGUACCAUAAUAAGAAGUUAGCAAAAUCGGCAUCAUUUGCAUCUCGCAUUGCGGCAUAGAAAUCUUCACAGGUAACAGCUUGACCAUCAUGUCUCUCAAAGUAAAGAUCCAUGCCUUUUCUAAAUCCUUGACUUCCCAAUAAGGUCUUGUACAUCCUCACG
rnacentral:misc_RNA from 1 species